rnacentral:rRNA from 1 species
CCUACGGGUGGCAGCAGUGAGGAAUAUUGGUCAAUGGGCGGAAGCCUGAACCAGCCAAGUAGCGUGCAGGAUGAAGGCCCUACGGGUUGUAAACUGCUUUUAUACGGGAAUAACGCGCCUUACGUGUAGGGCUUUGCAUGUACCGUAUGAAUAAGGACCGGCUAAUUCCGUGCCAGCAGCCGCGGUAAUACGGAGGGUCCGGGCGUUAUCCGGGUUUAGUGGGUUUAAAGGGCACGUAGGCCGCAUGUCAAGCGUGCUGUGAAAGGUCCGGGCUCAACCCCGGCCCUGCCGUGCGAACUGGCGUGCUUGAGUCCGCGGAAAGCAGGCGGAAUUCGUCGUGUAGCGGUGAAAUGCUUAGAUAUGACGAAGAACCCCGAUUGCAAAGGCAGCUUGCUGCAGCGGAACUGACGCUGAUGCUCGAAAGCGCGGGUAUCGAACAGGAUUAGAUACCCGGGUAGUC